rnacentral:lncRNA from 1 species
UGAUUUGCGUUGUGAUGCUCUUAUUUUCCGACAACAGUGCCCUGUCGAAGCUCUUCCCCUACCGCAGGAGAUUUCUCUGAAGUUCAUGAUCUGGGAUCUGAGAAGGAAAGUUCGUCACCUAACGAAGAAAUCAAAGAAGAUGGAUAACAAACUUCACAAGCUGAGGAAGAGCCAUUCGGAAGCCACCACAGAGGUUACUCGCCUUCGGGACGUCCA